ensembl:lncRNA
UCUCUCUAAUCAUCUCUGUGUGGUUUUCAGGCUGAUGAUGAGACUGCUCCACUUUUUCUCCUCCAGCAUGCGCCUUCAGAGCUGAGUGGAUUGAGGCUGCAGAUAAACUGAUACGGACGCUGUACAGUCUGAAGGCGCUGGUGUCUCAGCAGGACAGCGAGUUGGAGGUUCUGCGUGCAGUUCAGUUGGAGCAUGAGCGUUCGUCCCGUCAGCGUUACAGCUCCAUCCAGGAUCAGGAGCGACAGCGGCACCUGGAGAAGCAGCGUGAGGAGCUCCUCCACCUGCAGAAGGUCCAUACGCAGCAGCGGCAGGAGCAGGAGGAGUGGGCUCGCGAGCGUCAGCGCCACCUGCUGGAGAUGCACAGGCGCGAGCAGGAGCUGAGCCGCCGCAUGGACGAGUACACCAACAAGGAGGCGUGGCUCUGUGCCGAGAGGACGUCCUGCACCGCAGCCGGGAGGAGUACCAGCAGGACCUGGAGCGUCUGAGGGACAGCACUCGCAUUGUGGAGAAGGAGAAGGAGAAACUGGAGCAGGAUAUCAAGAGAUUCAGAAAACACAAGAACCUCACCAAUCUGGGUGGAGCCUCAACCUGGGCGGGGCCUCACAUCAGGACAGCGCACAGCUGGUUGUUCCAUAUUCAUCAGCUGACGAUAGGCUUGGCAGAUCUCCGGUACAGCCCAGUCUGCCUCAGGAGCGCCCUCCAGUGGUCCCUCCUCGCAAAGAGAGCAUGAGUGUCUCGGCGAGCGUCAAAGCAGAUGUUCCAUCCAGCUGCUGAGCACCACCAACGAGGCGCUUAAAGUCCAGCAGCAUCCAGCAGCAAAUCCCAACUAAACUAGCCAUUAGCAGCGGGAAGGAGAAGAACAAGAGCAAGAACAUACAUCAUCGCAACAACAGCGCAGCCUCGAUAGAAGUUUCUGAAGUGUUUCCUAUUAAGGUGUCGGGAA